rnacentral:lncRNA from 1 species
UAAAUAAAUGUGUUUGUUCCUGAAGGUAAAAGUCCAUUCUGAUGGGAUAUCAGAAAGCAGGACCCUCACAGCCAAAUAGCUGACAUUUCCAUGAGAUCAGCUCUGACUACUUGUGAGAGAUUCCCUCAUGAUUGUUCUUGUGGACUGAUGACUUCCCCUCAUGAAAAGUCAGGAAGAGAAAGGUCAUGUGGGACUGUUACCUGAGAAUUCAGACACUUCUAGCCAUUUCUGUUCAAUUCCACCAGAAGUGGUCCCCAGAUCUGAAGAAGUAACUAGAGUGUGUAUGUUGGCAGAG